GGCGAGGACGUAUACCUCAGGCAGUUCCCUCAUCUUCCCGAGGCUGGAGCCGAGUGGAUCGGGUCGGGUUUCUCUCAGCCGAUUGUGGAGGUCUUCGGCAGCAAGGUUGGGAGGAUUGUAUGGAUUGAGGUUUUGUGGUGGCAGUGGCUUGCUGGGAAGGGGAUCGAUCACAACCUCCAGCAGCUGUUCAUCAUCCGAGACUCAUGGGAGCUCUGUUCGUGAAUUUUGGCAGUGGCUCACUGUGAGGAGUCCGGCCACAAUUCCCAACUGCUGUGCUUCAUCCGGGGAUUAGUAGCUCUGUGAGGACUUGGAUCUGUUAAUCAGCAGCAUUUGGGCAGCAUCGGUGUGC